AUACGUAGGGGGCUAGCGUUAUCCGGAAUUACUGGGCGUAAAGGGUGCGUAGGUGGUUUCUUAAGUCAGAAGUGAAAGGCUACGGCUCAACCGUAGUAAGCUUUUGAAACUAAGAGACUUGAGUGCAGGAGAGGAGAGUAGAAUUCCUAGUGUAGCGGUGAAAUGCGUAGAUAUUAGGAGGAAUACCAGUUGCGAAGGCGGCUCUCUGGACUGUAAGUAACACUGAGGCACGAAAGCGUGGGGAGCAAAAAGGAUUAGAUACCCUGGUAGCCCACGCCGUAAACGAUGAGUACUAGCUGUCGGGGGUUACCCCCCUCGGUGGCGCAGCUAACGCAUUAAGUACUCCGCCUGGGAAGUACGCUCGCAAGAGUGAAACUUAAAGGAAUUGACGGGG
rnacentral:rRNA from 1 species